GAUGAACGCUAGCGGCAGGCUUAACACAUGCAAGUCGAGGGGCAGCGUGAUGAGACAGCAAUGUGGAUUUGACGGCGACCGGCGCACGGGUGCGUAACGCGUAUGCAACCUACCCAUGACAGGGGGAUAACACUGAGAAAUUGGUACUAAUACCCCAUAACAGUUUAAAAGGCAUCUUUUAGAUUUGAAAGUUGAGGCGGUUAUGGAUGGGCAUGCGUUGUAUUAGCUAGAUGGUGAGGUAACGGUUCACCAUGGCGACGAUACAUAGGGGGACUGAGAGGUUAACCCCCCACACUGGUACUGAGACACGGACCAG
rnacentral:rRNA from 1 species